AGAGUUUGAUCAUGGCUCAGAUUGAACGCUGGCGGCAUGCCUUACACAUGCAAGUCGAACGGCAGCACGGGUGCUUGCACCUGGUGGCGAGUGGCGAACGGGUGAGUAAUACAUCGGAACAUGUCCAGUAGUGGGGAUGAGCCCGGCGAAAGCCGGAUUAAUACCGCAUACGAUCUAGGGAUGAAAGCGGGGGAUCUUCG
rnacentral:rRNA from 1 species